UAUGCCCCUGAGCAUGAUCACUGGUUUCCACUGCAAGUGGUCCAGUGAUAUCUACACUGAUUGAAGGCAUCCAUCCUGCUACAUGUAAGGCUGUGUCCACCCUAUUUGCAUGUCUUCUCUGGACACCAUCUGUGCUCCCAUAGCUCUAAGCAAGAAAACACAUGGAACUGUCUGAGGAUGCAAAGGAAAACUGUGUAGGUCACUGAUUGGUUUUAUCUCUGAGGGACACAACUGGAGAGUUUCUUUACCAACCCAGAAAGUAACUCAACAGUCAUGCUAUGCAGAUGAUGUGAGAAUCUGGCCCCAAGUAUUCUACUAG
rnacentral:lncRNA from 1 species